GGGGCCUAGCUCAGCUGGGAGAGCGCCUGCCUUGCACGCAGGAGGUCAGCGGUUCGAUCCCGCUUGGCUCCACCA
rnacentral:tRNA from 1 species